rnacentral:tRNA from 1 species
GCCCGGGUGGCGGAACGGUUUACGCAGCAGGCUUAAAACCUGCGGCCCGUCAGGGCUUGUGGGUUCGAAUCCCACCCCGGGCACCA